AAAAACAUGACUUUGAUCUGCGUCCUCAUCUGGACUCUCCUCUGCUGCUGCUUCACAGAGUCCAGAGGACAGAUCACAGUGACUCAGCCUGGAGCAGUGAGCUCUGCUGUGGGAGGAACUGUGAACAUCAAGUGUAGGACCAGUCAGAAUGUUUAUGACUCUAAGCGUUUAGCCUGGUACCAACAGAAAGAUGGAGGAGUUCCUAAACCGCUCAUUUACUAUUCUAGCACUCGACAAUCAGGGAUUCCAGCUCGUUUUACAGGCAGUGGAUCAAACUCUGACUUCACUCUGACCAUCAGUGGAGUCCAGGCUGAAGAUGCAGCAGUUUAUUACUGUCAGAGUUAUCAUGUCCACAUCAUAGGACAUUACAUCACCCUGUUUUAGGCCACGCCCUGCUGCUCUCUCUAUGACCUUUCACAUACAUGAUUUCAAGCAAAGCUCAGUCAUUCAUUACAACCAAACACAAAAAUGUUAAAAUUACCAGAACAAUGUCUCUCUUCCCCAUUU